ACUAGGCCCUCUCGGAUGCCAUUUGUUUCACUACGACUCCUUUCAACUGCACACCCCUCUUCCCCCGCGAGAUAAGGGCUAAUAAAACGCUUGAGGUGGCGUUUUGAGGACAUGGCAUGAAGACGAACCGCCGACGGGGAGUAGGUGGUAACGAAGGGGAGAUGAGGGCCAACAGCAACCGCUUUGGUUUCUCUGAACGUUCCGAGGGCCUUUCUCAGAAACGAUCUGCAGUACCCUCUGGUGGACAACGCAGAGAAUAGUACCUUGGUGGCUGACUGAAAGUCCCCAGGCCUAGAGCAGAUCCUAUGGAACCUAAGCAAUUAUGGUUCUACAUUGUCUGCAUUGGAUGGCAUAAACAACAUUGGUGGAAAGCAGCGAGAAGGUCUGCCAGAUGGGAGUUUGCCAAGUUGAAGAUGUAUUUGAGAGAAGUUGGCCUGGUCGGAUGGAAAGAGAGCGGCUACUUCAUGCUUGAUAGUACGGAGAAAGCGUUUGGAGUAACCGCGGGGCCUAAGGGCCUCAAAAAGGGUCCUAGUAGCCUCCACUACAUGUAAAGAAGACUAUGGUGUCCAAAAAGGGGACCUGCUGGAGAUGAAGAGUAUGUUUAAGUGUGAUACGGGGGUGGUGUGAACUAAGAAUGUGAAUAAAGUGAUUUAAUUCUGUCUCGGAUUUAUCCCAUAAGCCAAAAAUGUCAUCAAGGUACCGAUAAUAUAGGAGCGGGCGUGACGGGCAUUUGAGAAGAGCUGAUUCUUCCCAGUCAGCCAAAUAGAUGUCUGCAUAGGCCGGUGAAUAUUUUCUACCCAUAGCGCAACCGCUUAUUUGGAGGAAAAAAGAUUUAUCAAACAGAAAAUCGUUCUGGGUAAGGGUAAGCUGUAAAAAUUGUAAAAUAAAAUAAUCAGGACGAGAUAAAACGGGUGAUGAUUCCAAGGCUUUUUUUUUAACAGCCUCCAAGCCAAGAGAAGUAUCGAUAUUGGUAUAGAGAGAAAAUAAACAUUUAACCGUCCCCAUUUAACCGUCGGGGACGGUUAAAUGUUUCAGUUUAUUUACAAAUGUAUACGUAUCUUUGACGUAACUCGGGUGUGAAUGGGACAGGGGAUUUAUAUAAUAAUCAAAAAAUUCUGCCAGGCGAUAAGAAUCCGAACCACAGUCGCUCACAAUGGGACGACCCGGAGGGACCAGAUAUGGUACAGUCCAGCUCUCUGGGGCCUUAUGUUUAUGAUAAAAUGA